rnacentral:tRNA from 3 species
GGGCCCGUGGUGUAGUGGUUAACAUGCUUCCCUGUCACGGAAGAGAUCACCAGUUCGAUCCUGGCCGGGCUCGCCA